rnacentral:rRNA from 1 species
UACAGAGGUCUCAAGCGUUGUUCGGAAUCAUUGGGCGUAAAGCGCGUGUAGGCGGUCCGGUAAGUCCGCUGUGAAAGUCGGGGGCUCAACCCUCGAAUGCCGGUGGAUACUGUCGGGCUAGAGUGCGGAAGAGGCGAGUGGAAUUCCUGGUGUAGCGGUGAAAUGCGCAGAUAUCAGGAGGAACACCAAUUGCGAAGGCAGCUCGCUGGGACGUUACUGACGCUGAGACGCGAAAGCGUGGGGAGCAAACAGG